rnacentral:lncRNA from 1 species
UUCACACUUCCGACUCUCAACAACUUAGCUUCUCUCACAAAUUUCCUAACCAGAGCCUUAUAAGUGGAAGCCAAUAUUAUUGAUUCGGCAAAAGAGCGAUGGAUUGAAGAUUCAACCCAAAAGGCAAAAUCUCAGAGUUACUUCUCUCUCUUUCUCUCUUUUUCUCUCUCGUCGUUACUCUGAGUAGAUAGGAAAAUGGAGCCAUAGAUUGAGAAUUUACAGAGUCUGAGUUUCACAUCUGCGGGAACCACCGUGAAUCGAAUCGAAGUACAAGCUCUGGUUCGCGUUCCUUCGCUGCAGCUCUAAGACAAGCACCAUCACCCGCCGCAGCUCUAACACCAACACUUUUAUGGCUCUCUUCUCCGGUCGAUUUGUCUAUUAUUUCUAGAAUCGAUGUUUGAGUUUAGUUGCAUGUUCAUAAUUUCUGUUUUUUGUGCAGAUGUAUGAUUUAAACCUGAAUUAGAU